GGGGCCCUCUCGCAGAAACUGGAAUACCACUGAUCGCCACCCGUAUAGCUAUCAGAAAGUGCUAGUACAACUGCUCCGCAAUAGGGCUGCUCCACACGAGCAUAUCCAUCACCGUCUAGUGUGCCUGCGUAUACCUGACCUUGACUGUCGUGUAGUUGGUAGGCGAGGCCGGCAUAAGGCUGUCCGUUACCAUGCUCAUCUACUAAGCGAAAGCUGACCCAGUCGCGGCGAAGUGGGCAGUCCAUUGCUAUCGGUUUAACCGAGUCAUUCAUCCUUGGAUUACUCCGUGCAGUUGGGGUAGACGGUACAUGCGCGUCCGUUCAUUUCGAAGGUUUUGAACUGUGGUGGCUCUGUGCAGAGCUCUUCGAGAGCUGUUCCCCAACGACCAGUGCAGGGUUUCCAGCCAGUAGUGGUUCUCAACCAAAAUCCUUUCAUAUAUGGUCGUUCAUCUGCACCUUCUCGAAAGUUCAGGCUGACUAUCUUAUUUGAGAGUUCGGCGAU
rnacentral:rRNA from 1 species